GCGCUAAGGCAUUCAAAUUCUAACAAUUAAAUUGUUAUUGGUGAUUUCAAUAGUUUUCGGGGUUUUUUUGGGACACCCUGUAGAAUACAGUUACUGACCUCACGUGUCAUUAUACAUUGGACAUAAUAACCUCGAAUUCCAUUGAGCUUGCACAGUGUGCGGGUAGAAUAAAUUAGAUUGCCAGGAUAUAAAUACGGGCGCCUUCGCAACAAUAAAGUCACAUUUCGUGAGAGGAUCGAAGAAGUGAAGAAAUAUUGGUAGAAUAACUUGGAUAAAUUCAAUACACUUGUUUGUAAGUAAAUAACUAGAAAAAUUUGCAGGUUUUAUAUAUUUUUCAACGGUCUGAUUGGUUGCGUAGGAUGUGGCGUUUUUUCUGUGUUGUGCCAGCUGUUUGUUGGCGUUGCUUUAGGGUGACUGUCCUGCACCAUCAUUAAGCGCGCUUUUAAAGCUUUUGUAUAAGAGGUGUUGUAGUUGGUUCUCUGCUGUGUUUUAGUUUUUUUUCCAAGUUUUAUAGCAGCAAAUAUCAUACAUUCAAUGCAUCUACGAAAUAUAAUACAUUAAACUAUGGCUUGUGGGAAUCCUAAGAAACGUACCGGUAUUAGAAUAAACGAAAUUGGUCGUAAUUAAAGAGAGGUUGGAAACUGUGGAUUAAGUACAACUUUCAAGGACAACUUUUAAGGACAACCACAUCACAGAUAGGGACAACCGCUCCAUAAUUUAUAAAUGCAAGUUAAGCCGGUGCUUUGCAGCCAAACGGAUUACAUUACGUGUGAAUAAUAUGAAUAGAAAUGGUAGAUUUAUAUUUGAUUUGUAAUUUCGUUAACUUAGUAACUAUACAGUAAUAAAUCUAGUUCCGUCUAAAAGCACAAUAUAUAAUGCCCAGUAAUGGCAUUUAAUUUAAAUCCGGUCUCCAAAGCCAAUCUCAAAAACACUGUUCGAAUGGUGUAUUUAAACAUUCCAAAAUUCGUCCAACAAAUGUUCGACAAAGCUGGUUGAUUCCUUAGCUUUCCUUACAAAUUUACGGUAAUACAAAAUGUUUAAAACAGGCUAUAACUUGCGUUUUAGGCAGGGACCUACUGCAGGAACUGACUAGUCUACAUGCAUGAGCCUCACUUGAAAAUUUCACAAUGUUACAACUAUGAGCCUUUUAUCUCCAUUAUAUUUGUUAUCAAUGACCAUGAUCAAGCGACGAUAGGAGUCGUUGUAGUGUCUGAUAGAGUCAAAUCAACAGCAUCACUCAAGCCGAGUUAAGAAAAUGGUGGAGCUUGAAUUGACUCAAGAAAUUGAUUAAUUUCAAUAUAUAUAUAUAUAUAUAUAUAUAUAUAUUUAUAUAUUUAUAUAUAUAUAUAUAUAUAUAUAUAUAUAUAUAUAUAUAUAUAUAUAUAUAUAUAAACAAACGCAAACAUCAUGAUAUCAUUGAUGCUGAUGAGCAGGCCUGUGAGAUUUUUCCCAAAAGUUAUAUCCUAGUGGCAUAUAGGCCAGAGCUUUUGCCAGAGCAAAAAUAUUUUCGUUGUUUUGUAAAAUGUUUUUACUUGUUCAUGUAACAGCAGUAAAAGAAAGAAAGUUACUUCAGGAGGGCAGUUCAGGGACACUGACAAGAAUAAACAGUAACAUCAGCUUUUUAAUUAAUCGUUUUCUAGAUUAUGGCCAGUACUUUUACAGCAUACGCUGGAAACCAGCAGACAGGAAACAGCCGAAUGUAUUUUGCAGAAGUCGGCAACAUUUCGCUUGAUAUUGGUUCUGCUGCGUUAUCGUGCGUCAUAGCGGGUGAAGGGCAAUGGCGGAUUUACUGUUGGGCAAAUCAUUCUGGUUUCACUAAUAUUCUCUCAGCUGGUACAUACAAUACAGCUGAAUUAAUGGGCAUGCCACCCGAGGGAACACUGAGCGCAAGACCUGUAAUUCAAGGAGAGUGACUUUUGAUUCACCAAGUAUUCAUGCAGUAUAUGUAUUAGUUGGCUUGCAUUAUUACAAAUGUAUGUAGAUAUUUGUAAGAGAAAUUUCAUGUCUUGUGACUGCGAAUAAAUACAAAAUACUCG